AGCGAACGCUGGCGGCGUGCUUAACACAUGCAAGUCGAGUGCGUAGCCCUUUGUAGCAAUACAGAGGGUGGGCGCACGGCGCACGGGUGAGUAACACGUGGGUAACCUGCCCUUCGGUGGGGAAUAACCCGCGAAGCGGGGCUAAUUCCGCAUAACAUUCCGGGGACACAUGUUCUCGGACUCAAAGGAGUGAUUCGCCGGAGGAGGGGCCCGCGCCCGAUUAGCUUGUUGGUAGGGGUAACGGCCACCAAGGCUUUGAUCGGUAGCCGGUCUGAGAGGAUGGCCGGCCACACUGGAACUGAGACACGGUCCAGACUCCUACGGGAGGC
rnacentral:rRNA from 1 species